GAUGAACGCUGGCGGCGUGCCUAAUACAUGCAAGUAGAACGCUGAAGGAAGGAGCUUGCUCUUUCCGGAUGAGUUGCGAACGGGUGAGUAACGCGUAGGUAACCUGCCUGGUAGCGGGGGAUAACUAUUGGAAACGAUAGCUAAUACCGCAUGACAGUAGAUGUUGCAUGACAACUAUUUGAAAGGGGCAAUUGCUCCACUACCAGAUGGACCUGCGUUGUAUUAGCUAGUUGGUGAGGUAACGGCUCACCAAGGCGACGAUACAUAGCCGACCUGAGAGGGUGAUCGGCCACACUGGGACUGAGACACGGCCCAGACUCCUACGGGAGGCAGCAGUAGGGAAUCUUCGGCAAUGGACGGAAGUCUGACCGAGCAACGCCGCGUGAGUGAAGAAGGUUUUCGGAUCGUAAAGCUCUGUUGUAAGAGAAGAACGAGUGUGAGAGUGGAAAGUUCACACUGUGACGGUAUCUUACCAGAAAGGGACGGCUAACUACGUG
rnacentral:rRNA from 1 species